rnacentral:rRNA from 1 species
UUGAACGCUGGCGGCAGGCCUAACACAUGCAAGUCGAGCGGUAACACAGAGAGCUUGCUCUCGGGUGACGAGCGGCGGACGGGUGAGUAAUGUCUGGGAAACUGCCUGAUGGAGGGGGAUAACUACUGGAAACGGUAGCUAAUACCGCAUAACGUCGCAAGACCAAAGUGGGGGACCUUCGGGCCUCAUGCCAUCAGAUGUGCCCAGAUGGGAUUAGCUAGUAGGUGGGGUAACGGCUCACCUAGGCGACGAUCCCUAGCUGGUCUGAGAGGAUGACCAGCCACACUGGAACUGAGACACGGUCCAGACUCCUACGGGAGGCAGCAGUGGGGAAUAUUGCACAAUGGGCGCAAGCCUGAUGCAGCCAUGCCGCGUGUGUGAAGAAGGCCUUCGGGUUGUAAAGCACUUUCAGCGGGGAGGAAGGCGGUGAGGUUAAUAACCUCAUCGAUUGACGUUACCCGCAGAAGAAGCACCGGCUAACUCCGUGCCAGCAGCCGCGGUAAUACGGAGGGUGCAAGCGUUAAUCGGAAUUACUGGGCGUAAAGCGCACGCAGGCGGUCUGUCAAGUCGGAUGUGAAAUCCCCGGGCUCAACCUGGGAACUGCAUUCGAAACUGGCAGGCUAGAGUCUUGUAGAGGGGGGUAGAAUUCCAGGUGUAGCGGUGAAAUGCGUAGAGAUCUGGAGGAAUACCGGUGGCGAAGGCGGCCCCCUGGACAAAGACUGACGCUCAGGUGCGAAAGCGUGGGGAGCAAACAGGAUUAGAUACCCUGGUAGUCCACGCCGUAAACGAUGUCGAUUUGGAGGUUGUGCCCUUGAGGCGUGGCUUCCGGAGCUAACGCGUUAAAUCGACCGCCUGGGGAGUACGGCCGCAAGGUUAAAACUCAAAUGAAUUGACGGGGGCCCGCACAAGCGGUGGGGCAUGUGGUUUAAUUCGAUGCAACGCGAAGAACCUUACCUGGUCUUGACAUCCACAGAACUUUCCAGAGAUGGAUUGGUGCCUUCGGGAACUGUGAGACAGGUGCUGCAUGGCUGUCGUCAGCUCGUGUUGUGAAAUGUUGGGUUAAGUCCCGCAACGAGCGCAACCCUUAUCCUUUGUUGCCAGCGGUUAGGCCGGGAACUCAAAGGAGACUGCCAGUGAUAAACUGGAGGAAGGUGGGGAUGACGUCAAGUCAUCAUGGCCCUUACGACCAGGGCUACACACGUGCUACAAUGGCAUAUACAAAGAGAAGCGACCUCGCGAGAGCAAGCGGACCUCAUAAAGUAUGUCGUAGUCCGGAUUGGAGUCUGCAACUCGACUCCAUGAAGUCGGAAUCGCUAGUAAUCGUAGAUCAGAAUGCUACGGUGAAUACGUUCCCGGGCCUUGUACACACCGCCCGUCACACCAUGGGAGUGGGUUGCAAAAGAAGUAGGUAGCUUAACCUUCGGGAGGGCGCUUACCACUUUGUGAUUCAUGACUGGGGUG